GAUGAACGCUGGCGGCGUGCCUAAUACAUGCAAGUCGAGCGCGACUGAUUACACCGUUCUUCGGAACACCGUAAUCAUCGAGCGGCGGACGGGUGAGUAACACGUGGGCAACCUACCCUUAAGACUGGGAUAACCGCGGGAAACCGUGGCUAAUACCGGAUAAUACUUUUAUACAACGGUAUAGAAGUUGAAAGGUGGAUUUCUAUCACUUAAGGAUGGGCCUGCGGCGCAUUAGCUGGUUGGUAAGGUAACGGCUUACCAAGGCGACGAUGCGUAGCCGACCUGAGAGGGUGAUCGGCCACACUGGAACUGAGACACGGUCCAGACUCUUACGGGAGGCAGCAGUAGGGAAUCUUCCGCAAUGGGCGAAAGCCUGACGGAGCAACGCCGCGUGUGCGAAGAAGGUCUUCGGAUCGUAAAGCACUGUUGUUAAGGAAGAACGACAGUAAGAGUAACUGUUUACUGUGUGACGGUACUUAACCAGAAAGCCACGGCUAACUACGUG
rnacentral:rRNA from 1 species